AGUAUAUAAAUGGUGCUGAAGGGGUGUCAGGCCGUUCUAGGCUCAUGCGUGUCUGCGCGCUGGGCUGCUCCGUUCCCGGCUUAGAGGACCAGGACAAGGGCUAGCCACCGCUGCAUGCUGGAGGCUGUGGCUGCGGCACCACAGCUCGCCUCGCUGCGGUUGGUGGCAGCGACGGAGACUGCAGUGUGGCUGGAGCGCCCAGGGAUGCAGGGGAGGUCCCAGCAAGUGGCCACGCCAGCUGCUGCCCUUCUCCCCUGGCCAUUGACACAUCUGGUUCACCUCAGCAUCCCUAGGUGUUACGAGGAGGGCAGAGUGUAGCCAGCCCUGGCCUGGGAAUGCACCAACACGGGGUCCCUGCUGUGGUCAUGGACAUGUUCACCCAUGUGGACAUCUUCAAAGACCUGCUGGAUGCCGGCUUCAAGAGGAAAGCAGAUUUGUACAUCAUCGUGGACGGGAGUAAAGUCAAGUACGUUCUGCAUAUGUGUGAGCAGACCCGCAUGCACCUGGGGCACCUCAAGGCAUCCUCUGAAGAUCUUGAAAUGUAUCCCCUAUGGAUAAAGGAGGACUACUAUAUUCUCAAUGGAUUUUGCAAGAAGAAAAUUAAUCAUUCACAAAAUAUUUUAACCUUAGAAUUUAAAUAAAUGUGUAUAUUCUCUACAAGUUAAACACAAAUAUUGUAAUAACCUAUGGCCACUUUUUCUUAUUUUUAUGCCAUUUGAGUAAUGACUGGUAUUGAUUUGCUGAGGUUCAAAUUUCGAAUUCUAGUUUUUCUUAAACAUGACUUAUAUUAAUAAGAAUA
rnacentral:lncRNA from 1 species